rnacentral:rRNA from 1 species
GAUGAACGCUGGCGGCGUGCCUAAUACAUGCAAGUCGAGCGAACAGACGAGGAGCUUGCUCCUCUGACGUUAGCGGCGGACGGGUGAGUAACACGUGGAUAACCUACCUAUAAUACUGGGAUAACUUCGGGAAACCGGAGCUAAUACCGGAUAAUAUAUUGAACCGCAUGGUUCAAUAGUGAAAGACGGUUUUGCUGUCACUUAUAGAUGGAUCCGCGCCGCAUUAGCUAGUUGGUAAGGUAACGGCUUACCAAGGCAACGAUGCGUAGCCGACCUGAGAGGGUGAUCGGCCACACUGGAACUGAGACACGGUCCAGACUACUACGGGAGGCAGCAGUAGGGAAUCUUCCGCAAUGGGCGAAAGCCUGACGGAGCAACGCCGCGUGAGUGAUGAAGGUCUUCGGAUCGUAAAACUCUGUUAUUAGGGAAGAACAAAUGUGUAAGUAACUAUGCACGUCUUGACGGUACCUAAUCAGAAAGCCACGGCUAACUACGUG